rnacentral:rRNA from 1 species
GUCCAAGCUGUAAACGAUGAGUGCUGGAUAUUGGAAUAUUUUUCCAGUGUCGAAGCUAACGCGUUAAGCACUCCGCCUGGGUAGUAUACCCGCAAGGGUGAAACUCAAAAGAAUAGACGGGAGCUCGCACAAGCGGUGGAGCAUGUGGUUUAAUUCGAAGGUACGCGCAAAAUCUUACCAAAUUUUGACAUACUUCUCUAAUCCUAUUGAAAUUUUAGGAGCGGUUCGGCCGGGAGAAGAACAGGUGGUGCAUGGCCGUCGU